AUUGAACGCUGGCGGCAUGCUUUACACAUGCAAGUCGAACGGUAACAGGGUGCUUGCACCGCUGACGAGUGGCGAACGGGUGAGUAAUGCGUCGGAACGUGCCGAGUAGUGGGGGAUAACGCAGCGAAAGUUGUGCUAAUACCGCAUACGUACUGAGGUAGAAAGUGGGGGACCUUUGGGCCUCACGCUAUUCGAGCGGCCGACGUCUGAUUAGCUAGUAUGUGAGGUAAAGGCUCACCUAGGCGACGAUCAGUAGCGGGUCUGAGAGGAUGAUCCGCCAGACUGGGACUGAGAAACUGCCCAGACUCCUACGUGAGGCAGCAGUGGGGAAUUUUGGACAAUGGGCGAAAGCCUGAUCCAGCCAUGCCGCGUGUCUGAAGAAGGCCUUCGGGUUGUAAAGGACUUUUGUCAGGGAGGAAAUCCCUAGUGCUAAUAACACUGGGGGAUGACAGUACCUGAAGAAUAAGCACCGGCUAACUACGUGCCAGCAGCCGCAGUAA
rnacentral:rRNA from 1 species